GAGAGACAGGAUCAGGGCCUGGGUAAAAUCCAACUGGUCUGCUGCAUCUGCUCAGCCCUGCUGCUCCUCCCUUUCCUGGAAGGUGGUAUACUUGAUCAAAGGUGUUGGGACAGGGGAGAUGCCAUGGUGGGGAUCUAGAGCAACAAGUGAUGCCCAGGGAGCACAGUGCAUGCUCUGAGUGCUCCUGUAUCUAAUGCCAGAUUGGUUUGGUACUUGAAAUGUUUCUUCCCCUUGACCUGUGCCUUUCUAAUGCAAGCACUGGAGUCCAGCAGAUCAAGCUCUUUUGUCACCUGUCCUAUGACAGCCACAGCCAUGAUGAGCUGGUGGAUGGAGCUGCUGCCAGCAGGCCAGCGCUACACCAGCCUCUUCUUACAGCACAACCCAUGGAUCUAGCCCAAGGAAGUCAACCUAGCUCUUGAGGAUGCUCCUGCCCAUCCGGCAUCCAAGCUGAAACCAGACAUUACUGCAGUGAUUUAUUCACUCUUGACUCACAAAGGUGAAGGCAUCAGUAGCCACAGAGAACACCGAAGCUUCCUCCAACAUGCACAGCACAUGGCAGUCAAUGCUGCUCAUGGAGCUCAUGCAUUCAGCCAGCCCUUGGAGAAGCACUGCACAGACUGGGCAGGCUGUGCUCCAAAUAAAAGCAGCUUCAUCCUCUCACUACUGCUAGAAGCUUCAUUCAAAAAGAAAGCAUAG